GUCUAUAGCCAUGCCACCCUGAACAAGCCUAAAACCCGUCUGAUCUCGGAAGCUACGCAGGGUUGGGCCUGGUUAUUACCUGGAUAGGAGACCACCUAGGAAGACCAGGUACUGUAGGCG
rnacentral:rRNA from 1 species